UUAAACAUAAUCAAUAUUAAAAAUAAUUAAUGGAUCAAGAGAUUGAUUUUUUUACGAACUGCAUAUUUUUGGUAGCAGUGCCGCUAGCUCAGUCUUUCUCAGUAUGCCCUAAUGCCACAGCUCGCAACAUAAAAUAUCGACAACUCCGCUGUCUCACAUCACUGAUAUUUUGGUCAUUACUAAGAACAAAAUGUAAAGAAAGCCAAGUGCUCACUACCAAUCAUGGGUACCCUAUAGAUGCUGCUGGGCACCACCCAUACUCGCUCGGACGGCGCCCCUCCACUCGACUACGGCGGUUUUAUCUCCCCCACUGGAACUACUUCCUCACAUAUUGUGGGUUUUAUAAACAUUUAAUGAAUAUGCCUUCUAGACCAAAACUUGGCCAACUUUUUCAAGAUAAACUCGGUCAAAGCUGAUUAUCUGUUUUGCCAGGAAAAGACUACCGACUACACUUUACCAGUUGUGUAUUCGUAGAGCUUGCAUGGAAACAUUGCCCUUAAAAAGAACACACGCGAGGCGUGCGGCUUGGGUCACCUAAUCCUGAGAAGGUCCUAGGAAAAAGAAACGACAGGCUGAAAUGCAGACGACGAGAGCAAAUAUGGCUAUCGGGUCGAUAUCCGGAUAAAUGCACAAUUACACAGGGAAGUAAAUACUAUUUAUAUGUAUCUUUUUAUAUUUCACGGCACGGAGGGCGAUUAUUGUCGGCCUGAUUACUUUUUUGUCGGAGGCCAGCGGCUAUAUUGGUCUUCGAGGUGGAUGCCUGGCGGAAUCGAUUCGGCCACCCCAAAAAAAUGGCGGUAAUUUGUCACGCCGCGAUGCGACGACUGAAAGAUCCCGAGAUGAGGUGAACGUUGUAUUCCUGAACGGACUUACCGGGAAAAUCUGGAUGUCGUCGGCGCCAAAUUGUUUGUAGUAUGUAGUAUCGUGGCAGAACUCCCAACAAUAUAGUGAAA